rnacentral:rRNA from 1 species
AACGAACGCUGGCGGCGUGGAUAAGACAUGCAAGUCGAACGGGACAACAUCUGUAGCAAUACAGGUGUUGUUUAGUGGCGAACGGGUGCGUAACACGUGGGCAAUCUGCCGAGAAGUGGGGGAUAGCUCGCCGAAAGGCGAAUUAAUACCGCAUAUGAUCAGUGAAGACAUCUUCACGACAUCAAAGCCGGGGCAACCUGGCGCUUCUUGAUGAGCCCGCGGCCUAUCAGCUAGUUGGUGAGGUAACGGCUCACCAAGGCUAUGACGGGUAGCUGGUCUGAGAGGACGACCAGUCACACUGGAACUGAGACACGGUCCAGACACCUACGGGUGGCAGCAGUCGAGAAUUUUCUCAAUGGGGGCAACCCUGAAGGAGCGACGCCGCGUGGAGGAUGAAGGCUUUCGGGUUGUAAACUCCUGUCAUUU